CUGGUCAACUCACACCUGAAUAAUCCUAAAGAUCAAACUGUCCCUCAGGAAGUAUAUCGCCAGGUGGGCCCACAGGAUGAUGCAGAAGAUGGGCCUGCAGGAGAAGGUCACCCCAUUGCAGGCCAAGAAAAAAUGGGAUAACCUCAAAACUAAAUAUUAAAGACUGCGAGUAUGCAGGGUCAGGAGCAGUGGCGGCUGGCCAGUAGAGGGCGAUAGGGCGCCGCCCUCCCAGUUUCCCCUGUGUU